rnacentral:rRNA from 1 species
GUGGGGAAUCUUGCGCAAUGGGCGAAAGCCUGACGCAGCCAUGCCGCGUGAAUGAUGAAGGUCUUAGGAUUGUAAAAUUCUUUCACCGGGGACGAUAAUGACGGUACCCGGAGAAGAAGCCCCGGCUAACUUCGUGCCAGCAGCCGCGGUAAUACGAAGGGGGCUAGCGUUGCUCGGAAUUACUGGGCGUAAAGGGAGCGUAGGCGGAUAGUUUAGUCAGAGGUGAAAGCCCAGGGCUCAACCUUGGAAUUGCCUUUGAUACUGGCUAUCUUGAGUAUGGAAGAGGUAUGUGGAACUCCGAGUGUAGAGGUGAAAUUCGUAGAUAUUCGGAAGAACACCAGUGGCGAAGGCGACAUACUGGUCCAUUACUGACGCUGAGGCUCGAAAGCGUGGGGAGCAAACAGGAUUAGAAACCCGUGUAGUCC